ACCCGGCGCGGAACGCGCCAAGGAAAACUCAAUAGGACUGCCAAACCCCCCGAUGCCCCGUUCGCGGUGCGCUCGAGGGUGCUGCGGCGCCUGUCUAAUCCAAACGACUCUCGGCAACGGAUAUCUCGGCUCUCGCAUCGAUGAAGAACGUAGCGAAAUGCGAUACUUGGUGUGAAUUGCAGAAUCCCGUGAACCAUCGAGUCUUUGAACGCAAGUUGCGCCCGAAGCCAUCAGGCCAAGGGCACGUCUGCCUGGGCGUCACG
rnacentral:rRNA from 1 species